AUUGAACCCUGGCGGCAGGCCUAACACAUGCAAGUAGAACGAGAGGCGGACGGGUGAGUAAUGUCUGGGAAACUGCAUGAUGGAGGGGGAUAACUAAUGGAAACGGUAGCUAAUACAGCAUACCCUCGGAUGUGCCCAGAUUGGCUUAGCUAGUAGGUGGGGUAAAGGCGCACCUAGGCGACGAUCCCUAGCUGGUCUGAGAGGAUGACCAACCCCACAGGAGCUUAGAAACGGUACAGAGUCCUAGGGGAGGAAGCAGUGGGGAAGAUUGGACAAUGGGCGCAAGACUGAUGCAGCCAUGCCGAGUGUAUGAAGAGGGCCUGCGGGUUGUAUAGUACUUUCAGAGGGGAGGCGUUACCCGGAGAAGAAGCACUGGCGAGAUCCGUGCCAGCAGCCGCGGUAAUAC
rnacentral:rRNA from 1 species